UAACACGUGGAUCAUCUACCCUUUAGUGGGGAAUAACGCUGGGAAACCGGCGCUAAUACCGCAUAAUCCCGAGAGGGGAAAGCAGCAAUGCGCUGAAGGAGGAGUCCGCGGCCGAUUAGCUAGUUGGCAGGGUAAAAGCCUACCAAGGCAAAGAUCGGUAGCCGGCCUGAGAGGGCACACGGCCACACUGGCACUGAAACACGGGCCAGACUCCUACGGGAGGCAGCAGUGGGGAAUCUUGCACAAUGGGGGAAACCCUGAUGCAGCGACGCCGCGUGAGCGAUGAAGCCCUUCGGGGUGUAAAGCUCUUUCGGCAGGGACGAUAAUGACGGUACCUGCAGAAGCAGCUGCGGCUAACUACGUGCCAGCAGCCGCGGUAAUACGUAGGCAGCGAGCGUUGUUCGGAAUUACUGGGCGUAAAGGGUGUGUAGGCGGUUCUCUAAGUUUGGUGUGAAAUCUCCCGGCUCAACUG
rnacentral:rRNA from 1 species